rnacentral:rRNA from 1 species
AUGAACGCUGGCGGUGUGCCUAAUACAUGCAAGUCGAGCGAAUAGACGAGGAGCUUACUCCUCUGACGAUAGCGGCGGACGGGUGAGUAACACGUGGAUAACCUACCUAUAAGACUGGGAUAACAUCGGGAAACCGGAGCUAAUACCGGAUAACAUGUGGAACCGCAUGGAUCAACAGUGAAAGACGGUCUUGCGGUCACUUAUAGAUGGAUCCGCGUCGCAUUAGCUAGUUGGUAAGGUAACGGCUUACCAAGGCAACGAUGCGUAGCCGACCUGAGAGGGUGAUCGGCCACACUGGAACUGAGACACGGUCCAGACUCCUACGGGAGGCAGCAGUAGGGAAUCUUCCGCAAUGGGCGAAAGCCUGACGGAGCAACGCCGCGUGAGUGAAGAAGGUCUUCGGAUCGUAAAACUCUGUUAUUAGAGAAGAACAAAUGUGUAAGUAACUAUGCGCGUCUUGACGGUACCUAAUCAGAAAGCCACGGCUAACUACGUG